rnacentral:piRNA from 1 species
GAUGUGGUGUCAAGAGCACGGUUUGUCC